GAUGAAGAACGCAGCGAAAUGCGAUAAGUAAUGUGAAUUGCAGAAUUCAGUGAAUCAUCGAAUCUUUGAACGCACAUUGCGCCCCUCGGUAUUCCGGGGGGCAUGCCUGUUCGAGCGUCAUUACAACCAUCAAGCACAGCUUGGAAAAUGGGCGUCCCCCGCGCUUCCGCGCCGGGGUGCCCCAAAACCGUCGGCAGAGUCACGCGGACCCGCCGGGCGUAGCAGAAAAGGAAGGCGUCAGCCGACCCCUCACGUCCAAUGCGACCGCGCCUCGCGCCGUAAAACCAAUGGCCCGCAAGGGCCGAACACCAAAGGUUGACCUCGGAUCAGGUAGGGAUACCCGCUGAACUUAAGCAUAUCAAUAAGCGGAGGA
rnacentral:misc_RNA from 1 species